rnacentral:rRNA from 1 species
UAGGGAAUAUUGGUCAAUGGGCGAGAGCCUGAACCAGCCAUGCCGCGUGCAGGAUGACGGCCUUCUGGGUUGUAAACUGCUUUUAUAUGGGAAGAAAAAGGUCUUGCGAGACCAAUUGCCGGUACCAUAUGAAUAAGCACCGGCUAACUCCGUGCCAGCAGCCGCGGUAAUACGGAGGGUGCAAGCGUUGUCCGGAUUUAUUGGGUUUAAAGGGUACGUAGGCGGAUUUUUAAGUCCGUGGUGAAAGCCUACAGCUUAACUGUAGAACUGCCAUGGAUACUGGAAAUCUUGAAUUCAGUUGAGGUAAGCGGAAUUUAUGAUGUAGCGGUGAAAUGCAUAGAUAUCAUAAAGAACACCUAUUGCGAAGGCAGCUUGCUGGACUUGAAUUGACGCUAAGGUACGAAAGCGUGGGGAGCGAACAGGAUUAGAUACCCCCGUAGUCC